AAUUUUGGACAAUGGGGGAAACCCUGAUCCAGCCAUCCCGCGUGUAUGAUGAAGGCCUUCGGGUUGUAAAGUACUUUUGGCAGAGAAGAAAAGGUACCUCCUAAUACGAGGUACUGCUGACGGUAUCUGCAGAAUCAGCACCGGCUAACUACGUGCCAGCAGCCGCGGUAAUACGGAGGGUGCAAGUGUUAAUCGGAAUUACUGGGCGUAAAGCGUGUGUAGGCGGUUCGUAAAGUAGGUAGUGAAAUCCCAGGGCUCAACCUUGGAACUGCAUUUUAAACUGGCGGGCUAGAGUAUGGGAGAGGGGGGUAGAAUUCCAAGUGUAGAAGUGAAAUGCGUAGAUAUGUGGAGGAACACCGGUGGCGAAGGCGGCCACCUGGGAUAAUACUGACGCUAAGACGCGAAAGCGUGGGGAGCAAACA
rnacentral:rRNA from 1 species